rnacentral:rRNA from 1 species
GUGCCAGCAGCCGCGGUAAUACGGAGGGUGCAAGCGUUAUCCGGAUUUACUGGGUUUAAAGGGUGUGUAGGCGGACUUUUAAGUCAGCGGUGAAAUCUCCGGGCUCAACCCGGAAACUGCCAUUGAUACUAUUAGUCUUGAAUAUUGUUGAGGUAGGCGGAACGGGUCAUGUAGCGGUGAAAUGCAUAGAUAUGACCCGGAACACCGAUUGCGAAGGCAGCCUACUAAGCAAUUAUUGACGCUGAGGCACGAAAGCGUGGGGAUCAAACAGGAUUAGAAACCCCGGUAGUCC